GACGAACGCUGGCGGCGUGCUUAACACAUGCAAGUCGAACGGUAAGGCCCUUCGGGGUACACGAGUGGCGAACGGGUGAGUAACACGUGGGUGAUCUGCCCUGCACUUCGGGAUAAGCCUGGGAAACUGGGUCUAAUACCGGAUAGGACUCCGGACUGCAUGGUCUGGGGUGGAAAGCUUUUGCGGUGUGGGAUGGGCCCGCGGCCUAGCAGCUUGUUGGUGGGGUGAUGGCCUACCAAGGCGACGACGGGUAGCCGGCCUGAGAGGGUGACCCGCCACACUGGGACUGAGAUACGGCCCAGGCUCGUACGGGAGGCAGCAGUGGGGAAUAUUGCACAAUGGGCGCAAGCCUGAUGCAGCGACGCCGCGUGAGGGAUGACGGCCUUCGGGUUGUAAACCUCUUUCAGCAUCGACGAAGCGAAAGUGACGGUAGGUGCAGAAGAAGGACCGGCCAACUACGUGCCAGCCGCCGCCGUAA
rnacentral:rRNA from 1 species